UAGACAAUAAAUGUGGCACUCGCCUGAACCCGAUGAUCCUGUGUUUGCGUUUGAAUCCUGCAAGUAGCGUCAAUCAAGAUUUGAGAGUACUUUGAGGGUGACCUGAAAGAUCGCUGUGGCACCCGGGCCAGACAGAGAGCUGAGCUGUGGGGAGGGACAUCGUGUACCCUGAAAGCCAGCACACAGGCACUGGGCAGAAAACAGACAAGGAGGAGAGGAAGACUGCCUAACUGAGCCCCCAGAUGAUCAGUCUGGAGCUGAGGCCUGGUAACACGUGCACACACAGGCACAAAAUGUAAUUUCCCAUCCAUUGAUUGGUAACAUGUACGAUAUGUUUCAGGGAACCACAUACGUUUGAGGUUAAGGCGAAGCCCAAGAGAAACCCUGUGGAUGUUAACUACCUUACUUCGUCCACCUUAGUGGGGACAGUAAGCCUAUACAGCACAGCUAAACUUGGGGCAGCAGUGCUGAAUGCAGCAAAGGAUGUCAAUCCUGAGGCAAGAGGCAUAGGUUACGGGCGGUGUGACUGCAACCGCUGUGCUUGUGAGGAGGGGUUUAUGGGUUCUGAAUGCGAAUGCUCUUCAGAGGUGGACCGUUGCUGGGAUCUAAACGGAAACCAUGGAAACUGCCUGUGUGACCGGUGAGAGUGUGAGGAGAUGUACUCCGGACUUUUGUGUGAGCAACAUGCCAUGGCGGAGGGUUAAUCACAACAUCAACGUGAAGAAAAAUGCAGUGCUUCCCUAUAAGAAUCAUGUUUCUAGGAUUUGAUACUUAGAACCAAUUGAUUCAAAAUACAGUGCAAGUCUAAGAAUAUACCCGUCCAAAAGGUUUUGACCACUAACAUCUGUGAUUCUCAAAAAUGUAAUGACCUGUACAUUUCAAUCUCUAACGCUGAUGUUCAGUGGGUUGGGAUGGUUAAAGAUUGAAUACCCAGUAGAGGAAAGCGCCACUGUCCGCCCCACUGCUGUUGUUUUAUUGUUUUGACAAAGGGGGACCUAAGGAGCAUCACACAAAGUGGUAAAAGAAAAUAGCAGUGCAUAUUCAAAUCAAAGUUUAUUGGUCGUGUACACAGUUUAGCAGAUGUUAUAGUAGGUGCAGUGAAAUGCUUAUGUUACUAACUCCAAACAAUGCCGUAAAAAGGUCAAACAAGUACACAACAGGCCUCCCGA